UACGGAGGGUGCAAGCGUUAAUCGGAAUUACUGGGCGUAAAGCGCACGCAGGCGGUCUGUCAAGUCGGAUGUAAAAUCCCCGGGCUCAACCUGGGAACUGCAUUCGAAACUGUCAGGCUAGAGUCUUGUAGAGGGGGGUAGAAUUCCAGGUGUAGCGGUGAAAUGCGUAGAGAUCUGGAGGAAUACCGGUGGCGAAGGCGGCCCCCUGGACAAAGACUGACGCUCAGGUGCGAAAGCGUGGGGAGCAAACAGGAUUAGAUACCCUGGUAGUCCACGCCGUAAACGAGGUCGAUUGGGAGGUUGUGCCCUUGAGGCGUGGCUUCCGGAGCUAACGCGUUAAAUCGACCGCCUGGGGAGUACGGCCGCAAGGUUAAA
rnacentral:rRNA from 1 species